rnacentral:tRNA from 1 species
GGCCAAAUAGUCUAGUGGUAGGAUACAUGCUUUGGGAGCAUGAGGCCCGUGUUCAAUUCACGGUUUGGCCC